AGACUGGCCAGGAGAGGCCAGUGUGAAAAUAGAAGGAAUGUCCAGCUUCUUCUUGAUGUCUGCUUGAUGGAGAAAUUCGUGUCUGCAUUGCUCCUUCUUGUGGAUGAGAAAUAAGUGAAGAACAUGAUAUUCAUGUCUGAUCAAUUAUACACGAGAGACAAGACGACUAAUAGUGAUCACUGGAAGAAGAACAAUGGCUCUUGUCAUCACCUCAGUUAAGCAGAGUUCAAGGGAAUACGCGUCUCUUAAAAAAAAAAGGAAUUCCCACACG